ensembl:lncRNA
CCCGCGGAAACAGUGAAAACCUCCCAUAGAGGUGAGAGCGUAGAUGUCACGAGAAAACCCGCAUGCUCGCUUCGCGCACGAACCAUAACGUCUGAACACACCGCUGAACGACCCGGCAGCCUGCUCUCCUCCACAGCCCAGACAACCGCACCUCCGCCGACCCCCCGUCCCACCCCGUAUCUCGGGUCUGGAAUGAUAACAGGACAAGAGACGCGUCUCAGGGCAGAAAGUGGACGUCGCCGACCAACAAUUGUUUUUCCCGUUAUUAUUAUUAUUAUUUUAAACUGAGGAUCUCGCGCGCAACAACCCUCCAGCCCUCCACCACCGCUUCUACGUGUUUAUGUUUGUUUCUUCAUGACUGCUGCAAUCGGGAUCGAGCCCAAGCAAUUGCUCCAGCUCCGGCUCCACCACGGCGAAUACUAUGCGAGGAGCAGGAACCCCGACCCAAGAUGAUGUCACCCCGAGGCCGGCCACAGACAGACCCCAGAGCCUAGCAUCAGAGGUCUUUAACCCCACGGCCAGUCACAGACAGACCCCAGAGCCUAAUAACAGGGGCUCCCUACAUGUAAACACCACACAGCAGAGAGCGACGCACACAAAGUGGUUCUCAUCUGCCUUGUCGACUCGUGUGGAUGACGGGAUUAUUUGUGAACACUGUGUGGGAUGGCUGCUUUGGGAAGAAAAAGAUAACAGAAAUACCGGAUGUAGGAACAUUUGACGAUAAAAUGUGUAAAGUAAAUAAUCGUAGAAGAAAUAAAUAAAUAGAUGUAUCUUAUCGUUAGCAUUAUGUGCCGGCGUAGGACGCCCUGUUUUAUGAGGGUAACAGCUAACAAACCAUGGUGAAAUUACUUUUCAUCCUGUAAACAAAAUGAUAGAUCCUACCUGAUAUAGUGUUAUCCAAAAAUUAACUAAACAUAAGCAUAUUAUCACCAAGCUAUCGCUGACAAUUUUGUAUCAAAUACGCAAAACACGAUGAAAAAACAUGUUAAUUUUACCUACACCAAAUGAUCUGUUAUAAAGAGAAAGAGAGCGCAGAAACACACACACACGCGUGACUGCACAUGCUCACAUACAAUACACAAACACACUAAAACACUCACCC